rfam:Gorilla gorilla gorilla genomic chromosome, chr5, whole genome shotgun sequence
GCCGGGUGUGGUGGUGUGUGCCUGUAGUCCGAGCUACUCGGGAGGCUGAGGCAUGAGAAUUGCUUGAGCCCAGGAGUUGCAGGUUGCAGUGAGCCAAGAUUGCACCACUGCACUCCAGCCUGGGCAACACAGUGAGACCUUGUCUCAA